UAAAACUGAUCAACGCUAGUUUGCUAAUAGCGUUUCUGUGUGUAACAUUAGGCAACAUCGUGUCACAUUGACUGUUCAUUUUAAAUUGCUAAGUUUAUUUAUGGUGACUUAAACUAGUCUGGGGAAUGACAUUUUUAAAAUAGAUCUAAUGGCUAAGUAAAUGUUGCUUCGGUUUGCUAUCGUUCUUACCGUUAGGUCAACUGACAUGUUAGCUAACUAACGUUAGCUAGCGGUAACCAGUUAACAGAAAACGAGUUAACGUAAGUUGAGUACCUUGCCAACGCCAUGCCAGCAGUUGCUUCACUUUCACUUAGUUCAGUUAAAACGUUAUGUUUCGUGUCAAGUUAGCGGAAACGCGACCGUUUUUCCACUGUCUUCACUUUUUUGACGGUUGUUUGUUGCUUCUAUUCUGGUGGUGAUGUACUGAUGAACACAGCUGGAUAGCUACGAGGUUAACAGGAUGGCUAACUCCCUUGUGAUGCUAAUGGAAUUGCUUUGUCAGCUGUCGAGGUCAGCUCCCUGCACAUUUUCUCCGGGGUAGCUGCUGUGGUGGGCAGUCACCUGUUGCUCGAGAUUAGAAGGCUGUCAGACCAAAAUAGCAGGUGGUGCUGGUUACAAAGUCUCCAGCUGUGGUCAUGAAUUAAGACACUUUCCACAAGCUUAAAUCGGUUGUUAUGAACACUGCUGGGAACUGAUGGCAGUCACACAGGACAUUGUAGGGACACAUACAUAAGUAAAUAAGUCUACAAGGGCUGGCUCAAAGAGUGGCUUAAGACUUUGUUUCAGUCAAGAACCUUCCCCCCCCCCCAUUUGGCUGACUUUUGGUGUAGCCAAUCACAUUGACAUGGGGUUGUAUGUUGCAUGACAUAUUAAAGAAAGUUCACAAAA